rnacentral:rRNA from 1 species
CCUACGGGUGGCAGCAGUGAGGAAUAUUGGUCAAUGGCCGAGAGUCUGAACCAGCCAAGUAGCGUGAAGGAUGACUGCCCUAUGGGUUGUAAACUUCUUUUAUCUGGGAGUAAAACGGGGUAUGCAUAACCUCUUGUGUGUACCAUAAGAAUAAGCAUCGGCUAACUCCGUGCCAGCAGCCGCGGUAAUACGGAGGAUCCGAGCGUUAUCCGGAUUUAUUGGGUUUAAAGGGUGCGGAGGCGGAUGGUUAAGUCCGGAGGGAAAGUUUGGGGCUCAACCCUAAAAAUGCAGUUGAAACUGGCAGUCUUGAGUAGGGGAGAGGUGUGCGGAAUGCGUGGUGUAGCGGUGAAAUGCAUAGAUAUCACGAAGAACUCCGAUUGCGAAGGCAGCAUACCGGCGCGCAACUGACACUCAGGCACGAAAGCGUGGGUAUCAAACAGGAUUAGAUACCCCAGUAGUC